GACGAACGCUGGCGGCGUGCUUAACACAUGCAAGUCGAACGGAAAGGCCCUGCUUUUGUGGGGUGCUCGAGUGGCGAACGGGUGAGUAACACGUGAGUAACCUGCCCUUGACUUUGGGAUAACUUCAGGAAACUGGGGCUAAUACCGGAUAGGAGCUCCUGCUGCAUGGUGGGGGUUGGAAAGUUUCGGCGGUUGGGGAUGGACUCGCGGCUUAUCAGCUUGUUGGUGGGGUAGUGGCUUACCAAGGCUUUGACGGGUAGCCGGCCUGAGAGGGUGACCGGCCACAUUGGGACUGAGAUACGGCCCAGACUCCUACGGGAGGCAGCAGUGAGGAAUAUUGCACAAUGGGCGGAAGCCUGAUGCAGCAACGCCGCGUGCGGGAUGACGGCCUUCGGGUUGUAAACCGCUUUCGACUGUGACGAAGCGUGAGUGACGGUAAUGGGUAAAGAAGCACCGGCUAACUACGUG
rnacentral:rRNA from 1 species